rnacentral:rRNA from 1 species
AAUGAACGCUGGCGGUAUGCCUAACACAUGCAAGUCGAACGGCAGCACAGUAAGAUCUUGCUCUUACGGGUUGCGAGUCGCGUACGUGUCAGGAAUACAUCGUGAUCUACUUUUUCGUGUGGGAUAAGGUAGGUAAACUUACUCUAAUACCGCAUACGACCUACGGUGGAAAGCAUUGGAUCUUCUGACCUUGCGCGAUUGAAUGAGCCGCUUUGGGAGUAGAUAGUUGGCGGGGUAAAGGCCCACCAAGUCGACGAUCCGUAGCUGGUGUGAGAGGAUGAUAGGCCGCACUGGAGCGGAGCCACGGUCAAGAGUACUGAGGGAGGCAGCAGAGGGGAAUAGUGGACAACGGGGGGAAGCAUGGUACAGCCAUACCGAGUGGGUGAAGAAAGCCUUGGGGUUGUAAAGACCUUUUGUUGGGAAAGAAAAGCAGCAGGUUAAGACGAAGCUGUUCUGACGGUAACGAAAGAAUAAGCACCGGCUAACUUCGUG